AGAGUUUGAUCCUGGCUCAGAGGGAACGCUGGCGGCGUGGAUUAGGCAUGCAAGUCGAGCGAUCCCGCCCUUUCUUUAAGGGAGCAAUCUUUUGAAGAAAGGGCGGGAUAGCGGCAAACGGGUGAGCAAUACGUGAGUAAUUUACCUUUAAGAUUGACAUAGCCUCGCGAAAGUGAGGGUAAUUUUAAAUAAGACCACGUUUCGGCAUCGGAGCGUGGUAAAAGCAGGGGACCGCAAGGCCUUGCGCUUAAAGAUGAACUCGCGUCUUAUCAGCUAGUUGGUAGGGUAACGGCCUACCAAGGCUAAGACGGGUAGCUGGUCUGAGAGGAUGGUCAGCCACACUGGGACUGAGACACUGCCCAGACUCCUACGGGAGGCUGCAGUCGAGAAUCUUUAGCAAUGGACGAAAGUCUGACUAUGCGACGCCGCGUGAGGGAUGAAGGUCCUCGGAUUGUAAACCUCUUUCGAUUGGGAAGAAAAUUUCUGUUAUUAAUAAUUUCAGGGAUUGACGUUACUAAGAGAAGAAGCCACGGCCAACUCCGUGCCAGCAGCCGCGGUAAUACGGAGGUGGCAAGCGUUACUCGGAAUCAUUGGGUGUAAAGGGCAGGUAGGUGUUCUAUUAAGUGAAAGGUGAAAUCCUUCGAUUCAAUCGAAGAAUUGCCUUUCAAACUAUUAGAAUUGAGUGUGUGAGAGGAAAGUGGAACUCUCGGUGUAAGGGUGAAAUCUGUAGAUAUCGAGAGGAACACCGGUAGCGAAGGCGACUUUCUGGAUCACAACUGACACUGAGCUGCGAAAGCUAGGGGAGCAAACAGGAUUAGAUACCCUGGUAGUCC
rnacentral:rRNA from 1 species